rnacentral:lncRNA from 1 species
CUUCAGAGCCAGGUGAAGUUGAACGUGGCCCCCGUGGCCGUCUUCCAGAUGCUCAAGUCGAUGUGUGCCGGGCAGAGGAUGGCGAGCGAGCCCCAGGACUCUGCGGCCGUGUCUCUGCACACGACGAGCGUGCCCGAAGGAGAAACAAAGACAGCACCUCCCUCGGGAGAGUGCCGGCCCUGUUGGAAUGCAGCGGCCGCAAAGGAUCCAGCCAGAGGACACCCCGCCAGCCCAGCGCUACCAGGCUGCCCAAGUGGGGUGGGCCUGGAAGA